ACGAACGCUGGCGGCGUGCUUAACACAUGCAAGUCGAACGGAAAGGCCCUGCUUUUGUGGGGUGCUCGAGUGGCGAACGGGUGAGUAACACGUGAGUAACCUGCCCUUGACUUUGGGAUAACUUCAGGAAACUGGGGCUAAUACCGGAUAGGAGCUCCUGCUGCAUGGUGGGGGUUGGAAAGUUUCGGCGGUUGGGGAUGGACUCGCGGCUUAUCAGCUUGUUGGUGGGGUAGUGGCUUACCAAGGCUUUGACGGGUAGCCGGCCUGAGAGGGUGACCGGCCACAUUGGGACUGAGAUACGGCCCAGACUCCUACGGGAGGCAGCAGUGGGGAAUAUUGCGCAAUGGGCGGAAGCCUGAUGCAGCAACGCCGCGUGCGGGAUGACGGCCUUCGGGUUGUAAACCGCUUUCGCCUGUGACGAAGCGUGAGUGACGGUAAUGGGUAAAGAAGCACCGGCUAACUACGUG
rnacentral:rRNA from 1 species